rnacentral:rRNA from 1 species
UACGGAGGUGCGAGCGUUGUCCGGAAUCAUUGGGCGUAAAGGGCGCGUAGGUGGCCCGGUCAGUUCGUGGUGAAAGCGCGGGGCUCAACCCUGCGUCGGCCAUGAAUACUGCCGCGGCUGGAGCACUGUAGAGGCAGGCGGAAUUCCGGGUGUAGCGGUGGAAUGCGUAGAGAUCCGGAAGAACACCGGUGGCGAAGGCGGCCUGCUGGGCAGUUGCUGGACACUGAGGCGCGACAGCGUGGGGAGCA